rnacentral:rRNA from 1 species
CUGAUGCAGCAACGCCGCGUGGAGGAUGACGCAUUUCGGUGUGUAAACUCCUUUUAUAUGUCAAGAAAAUGACGGUAGCAUAUGAAUAAGCACCGGCUAACUCCGUGCCAGCAGCCGCGGUAAUACGGAGGGUGCAAGCGUUAUUCGGAAUCACUGGGCGUAAAGGACACGUAGGCGGGAAGCCAAGUCUGAUGUGAAAUCCUAUGGCUCAACCAUAGAACUGCAUUGGAAACUGGUUACCUAGAGUAUGGGAGGGGGAGAUGGAAUUAGUGGUGUAGGGGUAAAAUCCGUAGAUAUCACUAGGAAUACCUAAAGCGAAGGCGAUCUCCUGGAACAUUACUGACGCUAAGGUGUGAAAGCGUGGGGAGCAAACGGGAUUAGAUACCCCGGUAGUCCACGCCCUAAACGAUGUUCACUAGUCGUCGGGAUGCUAGUCAUCUCGGUGAUGCACUUAACAGAUUAAGUGAACCGCCUGGGGAGUACGGUCGCAAGAUUAAAACUCAAAGGAAUAGACGGGGACCCGCACAAGUGGUGGAGCAUGUGGUUUAAUUCGAAGAUACGCGAAGAACCUUACCAAGCCUUGACAUUGAUUGAACGGACCAGAGAUGGACCGGUGCCCUUCGGGGAACAUGAAAACAGGUGCUGCACGGCUGUCGUCAGCUCGUGUCGUGAGAUGUUGGGUUAAGUCCCGCAACGAACGCAACCCUCGUCAAUAGUUGCCAGCAGGUUAAGCUGGGCACUUUAUUGAGACUGCCUUCGCAAGAAGGAGGAAGGUGAGGACGACGUCAAGUCAUCAUGGCCCUUAUGGCUUGGGCUACACACGUGCUACAAUGGGGCGUACAGAGAGUUGCGAUAC